GCACAAGCGGUGGAGCAUGUGGUUUAAUUCGAUGAUACGCGAGGAACCUUACCUGGGCUCAAAUGUAUGUUGACGUAUUCUGAAAGGGAUACUUCUUCGGACAAUAUACAAGGUGCUGCAUGGUUGUCGUCAGCUCGUGCCGUGAGGUGUCGGGUUAAGUCCCAUAACGAGCGCAACCCCUAUCAUUAGUUGCCAUCAGGUCAAGCUGGGGACUCUAAUGAAACUGCCUACGCAAGUAGUGAGGAAGGUGGGGAUGACGUCAAAUCAGCACGGCCCUUACGUCCAGGGCUACACACGUGCUACAAUGGCCGGUACAAAGGGCAGCUACCUGGUGACAGGAUGCUAAUCUCAAAAGCCGGUCUCAGUUCGGAUCGGAGUCUGCAACCCGACUCCGUGAAGCUGGAAUCGCUAAUAAUCGCGCAUCAGCCAUGGCGCGGUGAAUACGUUCCCGGGCCUU
rnacentral:rRNA from 1 species